AGAGUUUGAUCCUGGCUCAGGACGAACGCUGGCGGCGUGCCUAAUACAUGCAAGUAGAACGCUGAAGAGAGGAGCUUGCUCUUCUUGGAUGAGUUGCGAACGGGUGAGUAACGCGUAGGUAACCUGCCUUGUAGCGGGGGAUAACUAUUGGAAACGAUAGCUAAUACCGCAUAACAAUGGAUGACACAUGUCAUUUAUUUGAAAGGGGCAAUUGCUCCACUACAAGAUGGACCUGCGUUGUAUUAGCUAGUAGGUGAGGUAACGGCUCACCUAGGCGACGAUACAUAGCCGACCUGAGAGGGUGAUCGGCCACACUGGGACUGAGACACGGCCCAGACUCCUACGGGAGGCAGCAGUAGGGAAUCUUCGGCAAUGGGGGCAACCCUGACCGAGCAACGCCGCGUGAGUGAAGAAGGUUUUCGGAUCGUAAAGCUCUGUUGUAAGAGAAGAACGAGUGUGAGAGUGGAAAGUUCACACUGUGACGGUAUCUUACCAGAAAGGGACGGCUAACUACGUGCCAGCAGCCGCGGUAAUACGUAGGUCCCGAGCGUUAUCCGGAUUUAUUGGGCGUAAAGCGAGCGCAGGCGGUUAGAUAAGUCUGAAGUUAAAGGCUGUGGCUUAACCAUAGUACGCUUUGGAAACUGUUUAACUUGAGUGCAGAAGGGGAGAGUGGAAUUCCAUGUGUAGCGGUGAAAUGCGUAGAUAUAUGGAGGAACACCGGUGGCGAAAGCGGCUCUCUGGUCUGUAACUGACGCUGAGGCUCGAAAGCGUGGGGAGCGAACAGGAUUAGAUACCCUGGUAGUCCACGCCGUAAACGAUGAUAACUCGUUGCAGGCGAUAUAGUGUCGGUGACUAAGCGAAAGCGAUAAGUUAUCCACCUGGGGAGUACGUUCGCAA
rnacentral:rRNA from 1 species